CAGUAGCCGCGGUAAUGCAGAGGAUGCAAGCGUUAUCCGGAAUGAUUGGGCGUAAAGCGCGCGCAGGUGGUUUAAUAAGUCUGAUGUGAAAGCCCACGGCUCAACCGUGGAGGGUCAUUGGAAACUGUUAAACUUGAGUGCAGGAGAGAAAAGUGGAAUUCCUAGUGUAGCGGUGAAAUGCGUAGAGAUUAGGAGGAACACCAGUGGCGAAGGCGGCUUUUUGGCCUGUAACUGACACUGAGGCGCGAAAGCGUGGGGAGCAAACAGGAUUAGAUACCCCCGAGUCCCUGUCUCUUAUACA
rnacentral:rRNA from 1 species